rnacentral:tRNA from 1 species
GUCAGGAUGGCCGAGUGGUCUAAGGCGCCAGACUCAAGUUCUGGUCCUCUCAGAGGGCGUGGGUUCGAAUCCCACUUCUGACA